rnacentral:rRNA from 1 species
CAUAAGCGGAGGAAAAGAAACCAACAGGGAUUGCCUCAGUAACGGCGAGUGAAGCGGCAAAAGCUCAAAUUUGAAAUCUAGCACCUUCGGUGUUUGAGUUGUAAUUUGAAGAUGGUAACCUUGGGUUUGGCUCUUGUCUAUGUUCCUUGGAACAGGACGUCAUAGAGGGUGAGAAUCCCGUCUGAUGAGAUGCCCAUUCCUAUGUAAGGUGCUAUCGAAGAGUCGAGUUGUUUGGGAAUGCAGCUCUAAGUGGGUGGUAAAUUCCAUCUAAAGCUAAAUAUUGGCGAGAGACCGAUAGCGAACAAGUACAGUGAUGGAAAGAUGAAAAGAACUUUGAAAAGAGAGUGAAAAAGUACGUGAAAUUGUUGAAAGGGAAGGGCAUUAGAUCAGACUUGGUGUUUUACGAUUAUCUUCUCUUCUUGAGUUGUGCACUCGUAUUUCACUGGGCCAGCAUCGAUUCGGAUGGCAAGAUAAUGGCAGUUGAAUGUGGCUUCACUUCGGUGGAGUGUUAUAGCUUCUGCUGAUAUUGCCUGUCUGGAUCGAGGGCUGCGUCUUUUGACUAGGAUGCG